rnacentral:rRNA from 1 species
GACGAACGCUGGCGGCGCGCCUAACACAUGCAAGUCGAACGAGAGAUGAGGAGCUUGCUCUUCAAAUCGAGUGGCGAACGGGUGAGUAACGCGUGAGGAACCUGCCUCAAAGAGGGGGACAACAGUUGGAAACGACUGCUAAUACCGCAUAAGCCCACGGCUCGGCAUCGAGCAGAGGGAAAAGGAGCAAUCCGCUUUGAGAUGGCCUCGCGUCCGAUUAGCUAGUUGGUGAGGUAACGGCCCACCAAGGCGACGAUCGGUAGCCGGACUGAGAGGUUGAACGGCCACAUUGGGACUGAGACACGGCCCAGACUCCUACGGGAGGCAGCAGUGGGGAAUAUUGCACAAUGGGGGAAACCCUGAUGCAGCGACGCCGCGUGGAGGAAGAAGGUCUUCGGAUUGUAAACUCCUGUUGUUGAGGAAGAUAAUGACGGUACUCAACAAGGAAGUGACGGCUAACUACGUGCCAGCAGCCGCGGUAAAACGUAGGUCACAAGCGUUGUCCGGAAUUACUGGGUGUAAAGGGAGCGCAGGCGGGAGAACAAGUUGGAAGUGAAAUCCAUGGGCUCAACCCAUGAACUGCUUUCAAAACUGUUUUUCUUGAGUAGUGCAGAGGUAGGCGGAAUUCCCGGUGUAGCGGUGGAAUGCGUAGAUAUCGGGAGGAACACCAGUGGCGAAGGCGGCCUACUGGGCACCAACUGACGCUGAGGCUCGAAAGUGUGGGUAGCAAACAGGAUUAGAUACCCUGGUAGUCCACACCGUAAACGAUGAUUACUAGGUGUUGGAGGAUUGACCCCUUCAGUGCCGCAGUUAACACAAUAAGUAAUCCACCUGGGGAGUACGACCGCAAGGUUGAAACUCAAAGGAAUUGACGGGGGCCCGCACAAGCAGUGGAGUAUGUGGUUUAAUUCGACGCAACGCGAAGAACCUUACCAAGUCUUGACAUCCCUUGACGAUGCUGGAAACAGUAUUUCUCUUCGGAGCAAGGAGACAGGUGGUGCAUGGUUGUCGUCAGCUCGUGUCGUGAGAUGUUGGGUUAAGUCCCGCAACGAGCGCAACCCUUAUGGUCAGUUACUACGCAAGAGGACUCUGGCCAGACUGCCGUUGACAAAACGGAGGAAGGUGGGGAUGACGUCAAAUCAUCAUGCCCUUUAUGACUUGGGCUACACACGUACUACAAUGGCGUUAAACAAAGAGAAGCAAGACCGCGAGGUGGAGCAAAACUCAGAAACAACGUCCCAGUUCGGACUGCAGGCUGCAACUCGCCUGCACGAAGUCGGAAUUGCUAGUAAUCGCGGAUCAGCAUGCCACGGUGAAUACGUUCCCGGGCCUU